GACGAACGCUGGCGGCGUGCUUAACACUUGCAAGUCGAACGAUGAACUUGGAGCUUGCUCUGUGGGAUUAGUGGCGAACGGGUGAGUAACACGUGAGUAACCUGCCCUGGACUCUGGGAUAACUUCGAGAAAUCGGAGCUAAUACCGGAUAGGACCUUGCACCGCAUGGUGUGGGGUGGAAAGUUUUUCGGUUUGGGAUGGACUUGCGGCCUAUCAGCUUGUUGGUGGGGUAAUGGCUCACCAAGGCGUCGACGGGUAGCCGGCCUGAGAGGGUGACCGGCCACACUGGGACUGAGACACGGCCCAGACUCCUACGAGAGGCAGCAGUGGGGAAUAUUGCACAAUGGGCGCAAGCCUGAUGCAGCAACGCCGCGUGCGGGAUGACGGCCUUCGGGUUGUAAACCGCUUUUAGUAGGGAAGAAGCCUUCGGGUGACGGUACCUGCAGAAAAAGGACCGGCUAACUACGUGCCAGCCGCCGCGGUAACAC
rnacentral:rRNA from 1 species